UCCGUGCAUGGCACGGCAACGGGCUAUCUCCCACUCCCAGUUUCAAACACGCACGCUUCAUCCCUUUCAUCUGUGUGGGUUCUUCUCCCACAAGAGUUGCGACUUUGAGUCCCUUCUCUGUUAGUUUUAACGUCCCGUCAUCCUUUCCAUUCAAGCUUCAAAGAUGUCAGGAUAAAGGAAACAGGGAGCACGUUCAAGUGGAGAGUGGUUCUGUUCAGAUAAGAAGAAGGAAUUUUAUACCAGCUUGGUCACCAAAGAAGUUAUACCUGAGAGGUAUUUCGUUUUGCCGUUAAGCGGACCCCCCCCAAUUUGCAAGAGUGAUUCAAGAGAGAGGUUGGCAAACACUUGCUGGAAAACAAAAAAUUGGGUUGAGAGGAUAUGGUAAAGGAGUUCUAUGCUAAUGCUCGGGUUGUUGACGCCCUUGGUGAGUUUGAAGAACCUAUCUACACAUCGUGGUACAGAGGAACCAAAGUAGAUUAUAGUCCUCAAGUCAUCCAUGAACUUCUAGAGCUUCCUACCGCAGACCCGUUUCAAGGAAAAAAAUUGUCCUAUCAUGAAUUGUUAGAGCAACCUCCACUUGCGUUAAUUCUCGAGAGCAUAGCUAUACAUGGAGUUAUUUGGGAACCAGAUUCGGCGGGACCAAACAGAUAUAUUUUAAGGAACCACUUGAAGCAUGAUACGAGAGUUUGGUCACAAUUUGUGUUGGACACUGUCAUCCCUUCAUCCCAUCAUGUGGAUCUCAGGCUUAAUGAGUCCGUAUUUUUACACUGUAUUGUGCAGAAUUGUUCUAUUGAUGUGGCUCGAAUCAUCUCCUACAGAAUUUAUGAAGUUGCUCUGUCCAAUACCAAGCCACGCUUGCCCUUUCCUAAUUUGAUCACUCGGUUAGUCAAAAAUAGUGGAGUGAGGAUUGCAAUCAAGAAUCAAGUCAAGCAGUGCAUCGAUUUGACGGACAGGAAGGUCACAGGAAUGAUAUAAAAGGCUGGAGAAUGCCAUGAUGAAUUUCGUGAGGAGUUGAGGAUGAAAGUGCUUGUGAGGCAAUAACAGGAAGCCGCCAAUGCAUCCCCAGGUCAGAUCAUGCAGUUUGAUCCAAAGGAGAUAUUUGGUGCCAUAGGUACUGUACUCCGUCGGGUGGAUGCUAUGCAUAGAAAUACAGAGAGAGAUUGGAAGAGCAAGGAUACGCCAUAUGCUGAUUUUGAGUAUCCUCUCCCACAUGGCAGCUUGGAAAAGAUGCUGAUGCAGAUGAGCUUAGAUGUUGAUCCGCCUCAUACGGAUGCAGCGGGAGCAGACACUGAUGAUGAUGAUCCGAAUGGAUCAGAUUGAGGGAGUUCUAAACUCUUUCUUUUAUUUUAUUCUUAGUAUUCGUUUUGAGUUUCACUUUUCUUAGUUGGAGUCUUGCAUCAUAGUCUAGUGUGUUAAUUGAGUCUGCAUCCGCCAUUUAGUUUCUAUUUCAGUUUAUCAUGUUUGUGUGAAGUUGAAACCCUUGGUUAUUAUCUCUCAUAUGCUUAACGUCUCAAGUGGUUGUAACUCUAGCUAAAUGCCUUAUUUUCAAAAGUUUUCGAUAUUCUUGUUCUGUGAAGUUAUUGGGACAUGGCAUAUUGUUGAGAGAGAUGAGUGAUUCUGGGUUUGAGUGAUGAAUCACUGGGUGGUGCUGAUCUGAAUUCAUUGGGGGUUCAUUAUUUUACCCCUUGUUUU